GGGAAAAGUAUGUGCUAUACUAAGUGCUGUGAUAUGUGUAGGCCUGAUGAUUCACAGACCUGUACCCCUGGGGCAAAUAAUACAUUAUAUGUUAAUAAAAAUAAUUUUUUAGAAUUGAGAUAUUGAGAUACUUCUGCUGGAAGCCUACUGCCUUUGUGGAUUACUUUCCCUUCCAGAAUCCUGGCUUUCAACAAAAUCUGUAGAAAAUUAUUUCAUUUGAGAUAGGAUUUUUUAACAGUUUGUGAAAUUUUAGGAAGAUUACAAAUAUUUACUGUGUAAAUUAAGUGAGUCUUAAGAAAACAUGAAAGUUAAAGGAAGCCAGAAUUAAAAAGAACAGCUCGGGCAACAUAUCCCUCCAUUGUCUAAGCGGGAUUAGUCUCCAAAAUAUCCAUAAUGAAAGCAAUUGUAUUUCAAAUUGUUUAAUUUAGAAGGAAACUGAUUUUGACAACAGAAACACAAUGGUCAGGAAUAGUGUUUUAAUGAGCCUUCGAAAGUAUGCUAACAUAGCUUUCAAAAACUCAAUUCCCCUAUGAUGGAUAACUUCAUCGCACACACUUGGCUAUUUAAAUCUCAGAGGUCAGAGGGUUUGUAUAUAUUAUUGGUUACAAAGGCAGAGAUCUCUCAACUUGCCUCUUAGGGAGGGAAUUUAUAAAGCACCUCCUUUAUAGACCGUCUGAAGCACUCCAAAAAAAAAGUUCCCUGUGUAGUUUAGCUUUCAUAAACUGGAUCAGCAUGAGCCUACAAUUAAUGUGAGAACCUUAUCACACUCUGCCUGCCAGUCUUGUUUUAUUUCUCCUGUUUUUAUACGCAAAGCAAAUACUAUUUGUCAUUAUUUGCAAUAGAUUACAAAGGUGAAGAAUAUGUGAAAAGAAGAGACCAAACACAGGUUACCUAUAGAAACGUUAUUGGCUCUUCCUUGUUGGGUAGCUGGAGUUAAGGAGCGCUCUUGCCUGCCUGCCUACUAGCUUGCUACCCUUAUUUUUAUUACACACACAUUUUAAGACCUUAUUUUGGAUUCAGAAUUAAAACCUCAGCACGGUGCACUUUUUGGUGACUUAAUAGCAUCACAGCGCACAACUCCGUGUUAUACUCAUUCUUCAAAAAGAACUGUGUAUGCACCUACAGAUUAUUUGUGUGUUAUAACAUAUAAUAGGCAGUGGCUAUGCUACAAUGUAAAAGUUCCACUUCCUGUCCUUCUGCUUUAACCAUUCUAUGGCAAGGUCCUAUUGAAUUGAUAAAAUGUUUCUCAUACCUUCUCUGGUGUGAGAAGGAUGCUUUCCUUCAUAAUGGAACCCACCGGGACCGCAACGUAAAUAACAUGUCCAUGAAAUUGGGGUACCUGCUCCCGUCAUCUUCAUAGAUGCCUGGCCCUUUGGCAAAGAGCACCAAUGAAUACAGAGCAUUUGAUAAAAUAUUUGGUAGUAGACCAAACUGUAAUCCUAAUGUCAAGCAGAAUGGGGAAAACUUGAGGUUUCAAACUGUGGGUUGCAUACACAUUGUCCUAGGCUUCCAGACUGAUCACUGUUUGUUUGCAUUUGUAUAAAAGUUUUAACCAUUAAAAAAAAUUUUAAAACUGAGGUAUAGUUGAUAUACAACAUUAUGUUAGUUUCAGGAAUAGUUGUUUAUUUGAAAAUAACAUGGAGGGUACCUUUGGAGAACUGAAACUUGGCUUUCUAAACAAAAAUGAGAGAGGAGAAGGGUACGCUAAGACACUUCAGGCAUUUUAUUAAUGCUACUAUCCUUCCUAAUGCAGCUCUAGCCACAUGCCCUCAUGUCUGUAAGCAUGCUGUCACUGACCACAGUGCCUUGCUUUAGAGCCCUGUGAUUCUAAAGAAUGUACCAAGUGCUGAAAGAUUAACAAAACAGUUACUUCCGUUAAACCAAGUCAUGUGUAUUUAACCUUGCAAACAUGCAUGCAUUUUCAUUGAAAAGGCACCUUUCCUGAACAAUCUCUUUCCACGUAUUCAUAAUGAACUGUGAAUUCACUUAAAUAAUUUUAUUUAGAUUAUUUUUGUAUUUG